rnacentral:rRNA from 1 species
UGCAAGUCGAACGCGUUGGCCCAAUUGAUUGACGGUGCUUGCACCUGAUUGAUUUUGGUCGCCAACGAGUGGCGGACGGGUGAGUAACACGUAGGUAACCUGCCCAGAAGCGGGGGACAACAUUUGGAAACAGAUGCUAAUACCGCAUAACAGCGUUGUUCGCAUGAACAACGCUUAAAAGAUGGCUUCUCGCUAUCACUUCUGGAUGGACCUGCGGUGCAUUAGCUUGUUGGUGGGGUAACGGCCUACCAAGGCGAUGAUGCAUAGCCGAGUUGAGAGACUGAUCGGCCACAAUGGGACUGAGACACGGCCCAUACUCCUACGGGAGGCAGCAGUAGGGAAUCUUCCACAAUGGGCGCAAGCCUGAUGGAGCAACACCGCGUGAGUGAAGAAGGGUUUCGGCUCGUAAAGCUCUGUUGUUAAAGAAGAACACGUAUGAGAGUAACUGUUCAUACGUUGACGGUAUUUAACCAGAAAGUCACGGCUAACUACGUGCCAGCAGCCGCGGUAAUACGUAGGUGGCAAGCGUUAUCCGGAUUUAUUGGGCGUAAAGAGAGUGCAGGCGGUUUUCUAAGUCUGAUGUGAAAGCCUUCGGCUUAACCGGAGAAGUGCAUCGGAAACUGGAUAACUUGAGUGCAGAAGAGGGUAGUGGAACUCCAUGUGUAGCGGUGGAAUGCGUAGAUAUAUGGAAGAACACCAGUGGCGAAGGCGGCUACCUGGUCUGCAACUGACGCUGAGACUCGAAAGCAUGGGUAGCGAACAGGAUUAGAUACCCUGGUAGUCCAUGCCGUAAACGAUGAGUGCUAGGUGUUGGAGGGUUUCCGCCCUUCAGUGCCGGAGCUAACGCAUUAAGCACUCCGCCUGGGGAGUACGACCGCAAGGUUGAAACUCAAAGGAAUUGACGGGGGCCCGCACAAGCGGUGGAGCAUGUGGUUUAAUUCGAAGCUACGCGAAGAACCUUACCAGGUCUUGACAUCUUGCGCCAACCCUAGAGAUAGGGCGUUUCCUUCGGGAACGCAAUGACAGGUGGUGCAUGGUCGUCGUCAGCUCGUGUCGUGAGAUGUUGGGUUAAGUCCCGCAACGAGCGCAACCCUUGUUACUAGUUGCCAGCAUUAAGUUGGGCACUCUAGUGAGACUGCCGGUGACAAACCGGAGGAAGGUGGGGACGACGUCAGAUCAUCAUGCCCCUUAUGACCUGGGCUACACACGUGCUACAAUGGACGGUACAACGAGUCGCGAACUCGCGAGGGCAAGCAAAUCUCUUAAAACCGUUCUCAGUUCGGACUGCAGGCUGCAACUCGCCUGCACGAAGUCGGAAUCGCUAGUAAUCGCGGAUCAGCAUGCCGCGGUGAAUACGUUCCCGGGCCUUGUACACACCGCCCGUCACACCAUGAGAGUUUGUAACACCCAAAGUCGGUGGGGUAACCUUUUAGGAGCCAGCCGCCUAAGG